rnacentral:rRNA from 1 species
AACGAACGCUGGCGGCGCGCCUAAUACAUGCAAGUCGAGCGAGAAGGAGCAGCAAUACACUUGUAAAGCGGCGAACGGGUGAGGAAUGCAUGGGUAACCUACCUCGAGUGGGAAUAACUAGCCGAAGGUUAGCUAAUACCGCAUACGUUUCCGGAACUUCGGUUUCGGAAAGAAAGCAAUACCGUGGGUAUUGCGCUCCUGGAUGGGCUCAUGUCCUAUCAGCUUGUUGGUGAGGUAACGGCUCACCAAGGCUUCGACGGGUAGCUGGUCUGAGAGGACGAUCAGCCACACUGGCACUGCGACACGGGCCAGACUCCUACGGGAGGCAGCAGUAAGGAAUAUUGCGCAAUGGACGAAAGUCUGACGCAGCGACGCCGCGUGGGGGAUGAAGGUCUUCGGAUUGUAAACCCCUUUCGGGAGGGAAGAUGGAGUGGGUAACCACUUGGACGGUACCUCCAGAAGCAGCCACGGCUAACUUCGUGCCAGCAGCCGC